UCACAGCAUGAAAACUGGAUGUCUGCAC
rnacentral:piRNA from 1 species